rnacentral:rRNA from 1 species
GCAUAUCAAUAAGCGGAGGAAAAGAAAAUAACAAUGAUUCCCCUAGUAACUGCGAGUGAAGAGGGACAAGCCCAAAUUUUAAAUCCAUCGGGUUUUACCCGAUCGAGUUGUAAUUUGAAGAGGCGUUUUCUGUGUUUCUGAUCAGUCCAAGUCCUUUGGGAUAAGGCAUCAUGGAGGGUGAGAAUCCCGUCCGGUUGAUCAGAUUCGCUUUACGAUACGCUUUCUAAGAGUCAAGUUGUUUGGGAUUGCAGCUUAAAAUGGGAGGUAAAUUUCUCCUAAGGCUAAAUAACGGCGAGAGACCGAUAGCGAACAAGUACCGUGAGGGAAAGAUGAAAAGAACUUUGAAAAGAGAGUUAAAUAGUACGUGAAAUUGUUGAAAGGGAAACGAUUGAAGCCAGUCGUACCUAUGGGUAAUCAGCCUUUUGGGUGUGAUUUCGUGGAGCGUGAGGAGUUAAACGCCUUCAUGCCUGCAUAUUCGUGCACUUUGGGUGUACUUGCCCGUAUGGUUGGUUAACAUCAAUUUUGGUGGUCAUAAAAUGACUGGAGGAAUGUAGCUUCGAUCUCGUAUUGAAGUGUUAUAGCCUUCGGUAGAUGUGAUGAUCGAGAUUGAGGAUUGCAACGGAUACCCUUCGGGGCUACCUGUCUGAUCUCUGAUCGUUGCUCUGGUGCCGAAAGCUUGCUUACGGUUAUCAAAGUCGAUGGUCAAUAGGUUAGAACGUGAUUAAAUUCGUUAAGGAUGUUGACGUAAUGGCUUUAAACGAC